AUACAGCUAACCCUACUACCACCUCUACUCUGUGUGGUUCUCUGCAAAGGCCCGGUGUACCCAGGAUGCGAUCUUCCCAGAUGUCCUUCACCCUAUUUCACAGUGUAAGACAUGAACCAGGCCCUGGGCGACGACCUCUCUCCAUCCGCCGCCUCCGGUCUUCAGGAUCUCCACCAGAACCCGAUUCGCUCCACUUCGCGAGACAGAACACAACGCUAUUCUCGCGAUCCUGAAGGGUGAGGGGAGCAUCGGAGCAGACGUGCUUCAUGCUGGGGUUAACGACAACACGCUGUGGCGCAGGACCACUUCCCACAUAUAGAUGAGGACAUGAAAGGUUCAGCAGACAUUUUGCUUUAAACGAAUGGUUAUAGUCAUGGUGUAAAGAACAGAAACUGCUUUUUGUUAAUAAUUGGAAUCUUUUCUGGGAGCGUCCUAGGCUUUUUAGAUCACCUGUUGGACAACAUCUCCAGGACACUUCGCUCCAUAUGACUAGGCAGUUUGUGAAGACAGAUAAUCAAGAGAAGUCAGUUCCAGAUCCACCUCCACACCAGACCUCCCUCUCACGAGGAUUGCUGUCUACUAGCAUAUUGUGUUCUCUUCAGACUUCGGCAGAUGCAGAUAUUAUUCAGGGACACGAACACUUGAAUAUUGAAAGAAUAGUAAGAAUUACUUAAGAUUUUAGAAUUGAAUGUUAAUUGCUUAAACAUAUAUAUAUAUAUAUAUAUAUAUAUAUAUAUAUAGAUAGAUAGAUAGAUAGAUAGAUAGAUAGAUAGAUAGAUAGAGAUAGAUAGAUAGAUAUAUAGAUAUAUUUUUGUGGCAGUGUGAACUGGCCAUAAUGCUGUAUGAUAGGUGUGAGAUUCAUUAAACUUGAUUUGCUAUAAUACAUCUGUUCAUAAGCCAUUGCAUAUUAUAUUCAAUUAAUUAUUUGUAGUGGUUUGGUUAAGGGUGUGAUUAGCUGAGAUAUUAUUGUGGGAGCUUGUGAUUAGUUGAUGAAUGUGUGCAUUGUUAAUGAUAAUAUUUAAAGGCAAUGUCCUGAGUGCUUACUAAGACGUGCAUGUUUGUGCAUAAUGUUUUGACCCUGGAUGCUUACAGAAGGGUAUAGAUAUUUAAAUAUAUGGAAAUGUAUUUAUUAUUAAUAUAUCUCAAUCUAUGUGCUUCUGUAUGGGCUGAAUGCUUUCAUUUCGCUGUAUUUCGCUGUAUAUCCUGUUUUUAUUAAUAAUCUGGGUGUAUUACUGUUGAUAUUUGCUUGUUAAUAAAUUAACUGAAUUCA